rnacentral:lncRNA from 7 species
AGCUGUCCAGGAUGUGUCUGCUCCUCUCUGCACUGCCAGGGUGACAUCCUUCCACAUGGAAAAGCAGGGAGACAGAGGGGAACAGACAUCAAAAAAUGAAGAGUUUGGCCCAAAGACGCCAGUCUGCACCAUCCUUGAUCUUCGUCAAAGCACUUAACAGAUCUAGAUCUGUCUCAAGGUGAGCCCAUUCUGGUUUAGGAGAAUGCUGUGGGCCAGGAUCUGGUAGUCCCAGCCUUGUCUUAUCUUUCUACCAUAGCAGCUUGUGAGAGAGAGCGUGUGAAAACUUGUGGAAGUAUUUUGUGGAAACAUCAGAGUUGCAAAAUAGGAAAGGAAAAUGAGUAGAAACUACUUGCAUGUCUUUUUACUGGCUGUGACAUGAAAGAGAAAACUGAGAACUGAAUUUCUAAAGGUGUUUGCACCUUUUUGUGUAGUCUGCUGGCCUAAGCUUAGGGCUGAGAGCCAGCAGCAUGUUCUGGUUCUGGCUGUAAAAUUUAUUCUGUGGCCUCCUUUUUACUUUGUUUCCAGGUCUUUAAAAUAAGUGGAAUUGGUAUUCUGUAACCCCUUCAUGGGAUUACUGAAAUGUUUUGAUUGUCUGUACUACUUCAGAAAUAAAAUAAAUAUUUUCCAUUUACUAC